UGAUAUUGAAAUGGAUCUUGUAUACGACUGGUCUAUUUUUUGAAUUUAUCUGACUUGUAGGAUACAAUCUAUCGGAGAGAUUUUACGGAAUACUUAUCAGAAAGUUCGAUAGAACUGGCAGUGGAGAUAUUCGCUUUGAUGAUUUCAUUCAGUGUUGUGUUGUUCUUCAGACUUUGACCAACGCUUUCAAACAACGCGAUCAUAACUUCAAUGGAUGGAUAACCGUCAGCUACGAACAAUUUUUAGCAAUGGUGUUUAGUUGCAAGACGAAGUAGAUAUAUCAUCUGCAAUACUGCCGAACAUUGACGUACCUUAUGCUAUUUUAUGUAUUUUAUAUAUAUGCACAAAUUCACAACAAAUAUUUUAACAAUAGUGUUAAGUUGCAAGACGAAAUAGAAAUAUCAUCUGCAAUACUGCCGAACAUUGACGUACCUUAUGCUAUUUUAUGUAAAUAUAUAUGCACAAGUUCACAACAAAUAUUUUUAACAAUUGUGUAUAGUUGCAAGACGAAAUAGAACUAUCAUCUGCAAUACUGCCGAACAUUGACGUACAUUAUGCUAUUUUUUGUAAAUAUAUAUGCACAAGUUGUCAACAACUAUUUUUAACAAUUGUGUUUAGUUGCAAGACGUAAUAGAAAUAUCAUCUGCAAUACUGCCGAACAUUGACGUACAUUAUGCUAUUUUAUGUAAAUAUAUAUGCACAAGUUCACAACAAAUAUAAUUACAUUCUUCAAUGUAA